rnacentral:rRNA from 1 species
UACGAAGGGGGCUAGCGUUGUUCGGAAUCACUGGGCGUAAAGCGCAUGCAGGCGGAUCGUUAAGUCGGGGGUGAAAGCCCGAGGCUCAACCUCGGAACUGCCUUCGAUACUGGCGAUCUUGAGUCCGGGAGAGGUGAGUGGAACUCCGAGUGUAGAGGUGAAAUUCGUAGAUAUGCGGAGGAACACCAGUGGCGAAGGCGGCUCGCUGGACUGAUACUGACGCUGAGGUGCGAAAGCGUGGGGAGCAAACAGG